UACUUUUUUGGAGACUUCUGCUGCUAAACACACAGAACAGUGUGAGCCAGUGUUGUAGUACUCCAGAUCGGGCUUGGUCUCGAGACCACUUUUUGAACGUCUUUGAAUCUGCAUUUUUAU